rnacentral:misc_RNA from 1 species
GGUGCACCGUUACUUCUUCAAGCUCUGCUUGCCAUCUACAGUCCUGUUCCGCUGAGACCAUUAUUCAAAGGAAGUGAAGUUUCCUAAAUUACAGGGAGUAGUCCCUUUUUUCCGAUUUAUGAAAACCAAUAAUUUCAGCAGCCGCGCGAGGAAAGCACGUCAAAGAUUCAUUAAGACCCAAAUACAGACCGUGCAACCAAGCGGUGAACGCGAUUCAAACCCUAUGUAGACAGAGAUAGAGAGAUCGAGGUCACGCCCGACUGCUUCUCCGAGUCGUCUAAGUUUCUUUACCUGUCGUCUGGUCGUAGCGUGUGCACGAUGCUUCUUCAGUAACUUAUUUACCUUUGACGCCGUCGUGUCUAUCUACGCACAUCGUUGUCACCAUGCCCACUUCACUCGUACGGGCAGGAUUGGUCCUUUUUGCCAUUGUGGAGAUUUCUUCUGGAGCAAGCGAUUACUUCAGCUUGUUUUCAGAUUUUCAAGUGUCGGGAGAGGAAGUGGUGAUCGUGCGGACGACAACGCCUGGGUUAGGACCACAGUUUCUUCAAUCUCCUCGACAACCUCAGCUGCAAUUCCAGGCUUUUAAUCAAUCUUACGAUCUGACUUUACAACCUGUUACGACAGAUAGCCUGAUCUCUCCCCAUUUCACCGUCAUACGCCGUGACAGGAACACAACGCAGACCAUCCCAAUACACUCUGUCGCCAAAUGUUUUUACCGUGGACAACACGCAGCCUUCGAUCUCUGUCGGAGCAUGAGAGGAAUUGUUAUUUUAUCUCCCACCGAGUUUUUAAGCGUAGAGCCGUUGCGGCUUCUCAGAAGAUCGUUGGACGCUGAAAGUCCUCACUUGAUCCGACGAAUGUCGCGGAAUUCUGAAAGCCAGCCUCUUGUGUGGAAGAACAGAAAACGUGUUGAACGAAACGUUAAUUUUCGAAAGGAAUCGGGUGUUACUAUUGAAACGGCUGUCUUCGUGGACGCCUUUCUUUACAAUCACAUGGCUCGCGAAAAUUUUCCGGAUGAAACUGAACAAGAGAUGACACAUUUCGUGCUAGCCAUGAUUAAUGCGGUGCAAUUACUUUAUCAGGAUGACUCGUUGGGCCAUCAAAUUGAUUUCCAGGUGCAGCGAUUAGAGAUGUGGACUCGUCAGCCACUAGACCUUCUACCAAUUUUGUCUUCUUCAUCCGGAUCUACCACAGCGAUUCCUGGCAAACAAGGAAUCCAUGACAUUGAUCGAUAUCUCAAUCGAUUUUGUCAUUGGCAAAGCCGUGAAAAUCCAGCUGACGACCACGAUCCUGAUCAUUGGGACCAUGCACUGUUGCUAACCGGCCUUGAUCUCUUUGCCAUUGGUCGCGAUGGAUUCACGACCCAUCAGGUUGUUGGUUUGGCUCCGAUCGGAGGAAUGUGCACAGCGACGAGCAGCUGCACAGUCAACGAAGGAAGGCAUUUCGAGUCCGUUUACGUAGUGGCUCAUGAAAUAGGGCACAGUUUGGGAAUGAAACACGAUGGACGAGAGGCCGGUAAUGACUGCGACUCAGGCAGUUUUUUAAUGUCACCUACGCUUGGCAGUGGAAAAACUCAGUGGUCACCCUGCAGUAAACAUUAUCUCGAUGCUUUCCUCAACACAAGGCAAGCAGGAUGCUUACGGGAUAGAAGCUGGACCUCUCAACGAUUGAAUCAUAACGCGUCCGAGUCGCUGCCAGGCGAGCGUUUUACAGCUGAUCAGCAAUGUAUGUUGAGGUAUGGUCGAGAAAGUCGACGAAACUCUCAAAGGCCCUUGAACGAGAUAUGCCGUGAUCUUCGUUGCACAAAAGUUCCUCCUAGACUUGUUCGUCAAAGUGGCACCAGCUUGGUGUCAUAUGGAUCUCAUCCAGCUUUGGAAGGGACAGCGUGUGGCGAAGGCAUGUGGUGUCGAAGAAGUCGUUGCUCUUCGCGAAUCCGAAUGCAAAACUAUGAUUUGGACCCUACCUCACGUGCCAAUAGUGAACAUCCAUCGUGGUCCGUUGUUACGCCGUGUGCUUCCGGUUGCCUGUAUGGCACCAAUUCAUUGAGCAGUGGUAGCAUGGCUAUAUCCACUCACAUUCAAAAUUGUAAAUAUAAUUCACCUUGCGAUAAUGCUUCAGUCCGCUACCGAACGUGCGACGGAUCACAAUUAUGUUUUAACAUCACUCGCACAACAAUCCAGCAGUAUUCCAACGAUGUUUGCUACCAGGCUGCGCAACAAAAUUCUUCAAUUCUACCGAAAGGAAUCCAACAGCUCAGCGUGGAUGCGUAUCGGUCGUGUCAAGUAUGGUGUUAUUUGAGAUCAGGCGGAAUGACUUCUUCUUCAGGGUGGAUAUACCCUGAUGGUACACAGUGUCAAACUGGAUCGAACACGCAGUACGGUCGGAACAUAAAUCGCAUAAAAGUGGCUACUCUUUGCCUCUCUGGGAGAUGCCAGGAAUUUUCGUGCGAUAAUAGCUCGGUGCACCAGUUGCAUGCAGAUGUUUGUCGGACUGAGGAACCGGCAGAAUCCAACAUCGUUUAUGAUUAUUCAUUUCCACAAAGCAAACCAAUGGCCUUCAAAUACAGUGGAAAUGCUUAUUAUCCGGCUCGUAUUAGCCUUCCUGAAACUUCCGAACAUUUUGCUUCUCAGUCGAUGUAUCCACCAGCACCGGUAGCUUCAUAUCCAUCUCAAACGGCCAUAUUUGCAACAGCAGACGAGGCCUCUCUAUUGCCUCAAAACGUCUCAAACAACAGUAGGAUGGAAAGUGUUUGGAGUCCUUGGAAGACGAUCAGCUCUUGUCGAUCAGGUUGUCUUUUGUCGUCAAAAGGAUUACGGUUAGUUCAACGGAUUUGUGAGAGUGGGACAUGUGAUUCGAGUUCUAGUAGCAGCGUCCAGCUUUGCAUACCAACCGAACAGGAAUGUUCGGAAUACCAACCCAUUACAUCAUUUGCGGAUCAAGUGUGUCGGCAGCAGCACUGGUCGGACCUUCACCGGGGAAUUCAGUUGACAGAACGCUUAAAAGAUGCAUGCGUCGUGCACUGCCGCAAUCCACGGUCUGGUGAGCUCACUGCAGCUGUUGGUGAAACGGGUUGGUUUCCCUCGGGAACCUUAUGCAAUCUGCUGAAACCGGCAUAUUGUCUCAGCGGACGCUGUGUUAGAUUUUUUCUUUACUCUGACGCAGGAGUUUGACGCGGAUGGAAUACCGAAGUGAGUUUGGUCUGGAUUGUUAACUCUGUCGUGACGUGCUUAAAAUGCCUAAUCGCGUCUGAAAGUGACCUACCAUAAUCAACAAUGUUCUUUUUUAAAAAACAGAAUAAACGAUAAUGAUAACGUC